GGCUUGUCCAGCGACGCGACAAAGUUCAGAAUCCUUCAACUUAAUGCAAAUGAAGAGUACUUUCGGGAGCGACAACCGAUAGGAAAGAAGAUGGUAGAGCUCAUGUGAGGGUUCUUCUCUCAGCCGUAGAUAAACAUACGCAAUGGAAAAAACGGCAAGAAACCUGAUUCGCUGUGAAGGCAACCAGUAGUGAGAACGCCCACUAGCAACCUCAUCGCCAGCCCGUGACGCAGCUUGAUUACUGGCCACUUGGAGGAGGAUUGUCCUUUAUCUGCUACACUGCACUGUCACUUCUGAGGCUCUUAAGAAUACUGCA